GUGCUCGCCUUUGGCAGGACGUAUAUUAAAAUUGGAACAAUCAGAGAAAAUUAGCAUUGCCCCUGCGCAAGAUGACAUGCAAAAUUGUGAAGUGUUCCAUAUUUUU